rnacentral:rRNA from 1 species
ACGUGAUAAGCUGCGAUAAGUCACGGGGAGGUGCAAAUAACCUUUGAUCCGUGAAUCUCCGAAUGGGACAACCCGAUAUCCUGAAGGGAUAUCACCUUACAUGGUAAGGGGCUAACGCAGGGAACUGAAACAUCUUAGUACCUGCAGGAAAAGAAAAUAACAAUGAUUCCCCCAGUAGUGGCGAGCGAACGGGGAAGAGCCCAAACCAUUCAUGUUACG